GACGAACGCUGGCGGCGUGCCUAAUACAUGCAAGUCGAACGGAGUGGCGAACGGGUGAGUAACACGUGGGUGACCCGCCCUGCACUUCGGGAUAAGCUUGGGAAACUGGGUCUAAUACCGGAUAGUGUGGGAUGGGCCCGCGGCCUAUGAGCUUGUUGGUGGGGUAAUGGCCUACCAAGGCGGCGACGGGUAGCCGGCCUGUGAGGGAGGAUGGCCACAUUGGGACUGAGGCACGGCCCAGACUCCUACGGGAGGCAGCAGUGGGGAAUAUUGCGCAAUGGGCGGAAGCGUGAUGCAGCGACGCCGCGUGGGGGAUGACGGCCUUCGGGUUGUGAACUCCUUUCACCAUCGACGCGGUAGAUGGAGAAGAAGCACCGGCUAACUACGUGCCAGCCGCCGCGGUAAUUC
rnacentral:rRNA from 1 species